rnacentral:lncRNA from 1 species
UUAUAGAUCCAAUCAUAGCUCAAGUGCGAUGCUGUUUGAAUUUUUUCGAAGUGUGAUUAUUUUUUGUUGUUUGUUUUGAGAUAAUUCGUAGGGUUUGAAAGUUAAAUUCAAUUAGUUCUUCAGCUUGUUUUGGUAUAACUUGAUGCUGAUAAAAUUAGUUUUUUGAGUUCUAUUAGUUGUUUCGAUAUAAAUAAGUGAAUUUCAUUAAGUUCUAAAUAUAGUGGUAAACUUUUUCCGAUAAAAUCCAACAUAUUAAAAAAAUAAAUCCCUCAUUAGUGUUUCAAAAUAAUCUUAAUCCAUUGUAAAAAAAAGUAACUCUAACUCAUUCUAAAAAAAGCAGAGUUUCGAUUUUAAUAUUUAAUAAAUUUUUUUAAAAAAGUUGAGUAUGAUGGGACUUGAGUUGGAUACACUAGAGGGAGAGUCUAAGUAACUUCUUCCCUAAAUGAAAUAAACGAAGCGGGUAGUAUGCUACCUAUCUUUCUCAAAAAAAAAAAAAUGUAACUUCUCUCCUUUAUGGAUUAAUUUAUGUUUUAAUAUUUAAUAAUUUUUUUAGAGAAAGUUGAGUAUAGUGGAGCUUGAGUUUGAUACACUAGAGGGACAGGUUUGGAAAUUAGGGAGAGUCCAAACUUGAGCCUCCAAACUGUUUGGAUUCUUCCUUUUUCACCCAUAUCCGACCUAGACCCUACCCGGAUCCUAUCCGGAUCCGAACCAUACCUAAUAAAAAAUUAAUAGUAUACGGGUAAAAAAAAUUACCUAUUAAAUUUUCGGGUAUGGGUCCGGAUACUUUAUACCCAUACCUGGCUUGGACCCAAUCCGAACCUGACCUUUUAAUGGGUAGGGUCCAAAAGAGUUUUCAAAUUCGGAUCGAGACCCGGACCCAAACCCGGUGAAAUACUCGAUAGUAAAUAAAAAAAUUUAAAGUUAAGGGAUCAAUUUCAAUAAGACUUAUAGAUGAAGGGUCUCUGUCUAUUUACUUCCUAGUGAAAAGCCUAGCACUCUGUUUACUUUUGUUUUUAUUUUUAUUUACUCUUUAUUUUUUUUAACCCUAACUGUUUACUGCUUGAAUCUUUCUUUUGAACGACUUUUAUUUGUCGGUGCAAUUAAUUAGAAUGUGAGUUUUGUAUAGUGAAAGAUUUAUGAUUUAUCCAUAAAAACUGUUUAAUAAUAAAGUUUAUAAAAUAUAUAUGCAUACGGGUAUCCGUACCCGAUCUAGACCCGACCCAUAUUCGAUCCAUUCCCGAUCUUAAGCCGGUAGUAUAUGGAUAGUCACUACCUAGACCCGUUCAAAUAGAUUCGAUGGGUAUAUUAUUAUCUUAAGUGCCUAGAAUCGGACCCGAUCUGAAGUUAAAUGGUUAGAGUAUACAUAUUUUU